rnacentral:lncRNA from 1 species
GAAAUCGCCGCCAGGGCUAGGCUGGUGUUUGUCCUAAGUGGGUACUUGCUUGGGUUGAGAAAUCACAUUUUGGCUAUUCCCCGACUUGAACCAGGGGAUAGAAAUCGUAGUCACCGGCUGGGCGCAGCGGCUCAUGCUGUAAUCCUGGCAGUUUGGGAGGCCGAGGCGGGCAGAUUAUUGAGGUUAGGAGUUCGAGACCAGCCUGGUCAAUAUGAUGAAACACCGCCUCUAGUAAAAAUACAAAAAUUAUCCGGGCGUGGUGGCGAGCGCCUGUAAUCCCAGCUACUCAGGAGGCUGAGGCAGUAGAAUCCCUUGAACCUGGGGUGCGGAGGUUGCAGUGAGCCAAGAUCGCGCCACUGCACUCCAGGCUGGGCGACACGGCGAGACUCUGUCUCAAAACAAAACAAAAGGAAAAGAAGAGAAAAGAAAAAGAAACGCAGGCACCCUGAAAUCGAAACUUGUUAGGACCAACAAGCCAACGACAGACGAAUCUGCGGGGUCCUGCGACAGACACGCCAGCCCCGCCGCCACAGCACAGGGUUCUGGAGGUCGAGCUGUUCUGCGGGUUCUGCGGCGGCGCUGGGAAGAGACGGCGCCCGGGCAGCUCCCCUGUCACCGGCUUGGAGGAGCGGCGGGCUCCCCUAGCCCAGCGCCGCCGCCGCCGCCCGGGAACGCCAGGCUCACCCCAGCUGGGGAAGCUCCGAAUCCCUCAGAUCGGCGACCUGAGUGCUGUCGCCCCGAGAAAAUGGAGGCAUCGAGCAACGAGCUGUGCUGAGACCGAGAGACCUCAGUUCUGCGAAAUGUCGGUGCCUGGAGCUUGCGAAUGACUGCGGCCGGCGGGUUGUCAAGGACAACAUUCCUUAUGGCGCAACCAACAGCGCUGUCACCAAGAAACUGGACUCUGAGAAAAAAGAGGGUUUCGGCCACCGAGAAACUCCGUGCCACAUGUGCCGUGACAGCAAAACCGCCCGCUCCGCGCCGCUGGUGAAAGAGCUAACGAACGCCAGGUGCUGCGACAGUGACACCGGGACUAGAAGGCCUCGGAUGGAGAAUGGGACGCCCAGAGCAAGCAGGAAAACGUUUUGUUUGGCUCAACUAGCGCUGUCGCAACCGGAAAACUGUCAGGCCAGUGCUGCUGCGGAUGUGAGAAACCGGUGAUCCGAAGGCGGAGUGGCGCUGGGCGCUGGACUCGCUGGUGUGAAAAUCUGGCUGCUCUAGGACCCGGCAAGCGCGGGCACCAGGCGAACGCCAGCGACUUUGCCAGACAAAUGCAUGUCUUUUUUGGUCGCCAUUCAAAGAUGCAGCCGGCAGUCAGCCCCGGCUCUGAGAAACAAGUGGAGGUGUCAGCCAUAAACCCUCCGUUCAGGGAAAAGAGAGUCGCUGCGACGGAUCGACUGGCCGUUGGGUGGAACUUUCUUUGGUGGCCUAGUGACUAGAAAAUAAAAACGAAAACGAAAUAAAAAACUGCUACUGACAUUACUCCCACGCUCCCUCCUCAAGUCAGUGGCUUCAGGCUUAAGAAAACCUGUAUUUUUCUUGGCUGAUCCGUGAUCCCUAAUUACUGAGGGCCCCGCGACCCACCAAGUGCGAUUCGCAGAGGGAAAGGAGCUGGAAUAAGGAUCCAGAAUGGGACGGAUUUGGCUCCUCCAGGAAGAAAGCAAAACAAAUGCAGGUCGCGAACACUUUACAUUGCAGGAAGCUGCUCUUCCAGUGGCCGCGGCUGGGUCCUUCCACACCACCUCUCUGUCCUAGGCCUUCGUCCCGGUUCAGCCCUCACGGAUUCUAGGCUAGCGGUCAACAACCGCAUCCCUCCGGAACCUGGAAACUCUAGGUCCGAGAUCUCGGUGAAGAAUGAAAGGCACAGCGCCGCUCAACCCAGGCUUCAGGCCUGCCCCGCUGGUCCCGUCCCUUCCCUGUGGGAUGGAACUCUGUGGGAAUCGCUCCUUAUUCUGAUGGUUCACUCAUUCAGAUGUCCUUGAUAUUUGGGGAUAUUUCUAAAACAGCUGGGGAGAAAAAUGGACUGCGAGGCUCCGGUGUUGGACGUGAAAUUGGCAGUGAGACAUCCGCCUCUAAGCCCAGGGAAAAGCUUAAAUUGUGGUUCUCUGUCUCUAGCACCGUGAUCUUUGAAAUGCGUUAUUGAUUUUCUUCUUUCUUCUGGGAAAUGCAAUGCAGGUGAACUUUACUAUCCUUUUCUGGGGGAUCCUAGGCAGAAGCGAUGGCAGGACAAAGGCAGAGAAGGCACUGCCAGGUCCUGCAUGCCAGUAAAACUACUCAUGUCAGCUGUUCUGCAGGAUCCCAUGAGAAGCCUCUCACCCUCCACAAUCCCCUUAAAAACUGUAGCCCAGAACUCUCUGGAAUGAUGAAUUUGAAGGUUUGCUCCUGUCUCCUCACUCAGAAGCCUGUAAUCAUUAAACUCUUUCUCUGAUGCA